rnacentral:lncRNA from 7 species
AAACGAAGCCCGCUGCUUCUCGCCAGCCUGGCGAAGGGAGGGGCCGCCUCGCUGGGCAGGGAGAGUCCAACCUAAAACCCGCCGGCGGUGCUCUGUAAGAAUGUCACACAAGAGGCAGCGCUAUCCCAGCUGGAUAAUUCAUGAGCCGAAAGCAGAGAACGCCAUUUUGAGGCUGUCACACAUUUCUGUGUCCAAAGUGGAUAACGCCUGCGGAAAGCAUAAGAAUGAUAUUCUCAUGCUGCAGAAAAAGUGUUUUAAUCCUGCAGGUAACAAAAAAGCAACACCAGUACUGAAGAACACAUGGUGAAGUGGAUGGACCUCGUAUUUUCAUUACUAUAUGUACUAAUGUUAGCUAAUGAACAUAAGUGAAGAAUAUACACAUGCUAAACUGACAUUAUCAUCUUUAUUGGAUAGUGGAUAUAGUAAGCAUAGCUUUCCCCUCUAUCUUCUAUUAAAAUGUAAAGCAAGUAGUCUUGGCGAAUUUCAAGUAACGAAUAAAGGAAACAGGAGUGUCUAUUUCAGUAUUGCUGUAUUCAGUGUCCCUUGCUACUGACAUACUAACUUUGUGCCCUUCUUGCUUGGCUCAGCUUUAAAUGCAAGCUUUCAUUAAAAUGGAAUGACAUU